CUUUGGCUUACGUAAUACAAUUGGCUGUUUUCUUCUUAAUUUAGUUUGUUGUUAAAUCUGUAAGUUUAAAUAAGUAAAUAUGGCGGAGUUGCAAAUGCUAUUGGAACAAGAGAUUCCAGCUGGUCGAAAUGCUUUGCUCGAUAGUCAUAAUAACUUGAAGAAAGUGGCAACAUAUUGCCAACAACGAUAUAUUGAGGACCCAAACAAGAAAACUGCUUUAGAGGAAACAAAGAACUACACAACUCAAUCUCUUGCGUCGGUGGCUUAUCAAAUUAAUACAUUGGCCAGCAAUAUGCUACAAAUGCUUGAUAUUCAAGCAGCACAACUUAACUCUAUGGAUUCUGCUAUCAAUAACAUUUCACAGACUGUUGACAUCCACAAAGAAAAAGUGGCACGCAGGGAAAUAGGUUUGCUAACAACGAACAAAAUCAUUACUCGCUCGCAUCAAAUUGUGGCUCCAACUACUCAAGACAGACCAGUUAAAUAUGUAAGAAAACCAGUUGAUUACACUGAGUUAGAUGACAUUGGACAUGGAGUUAAACUGAACUCACAACCAAAUGCUGGGACUAUGAGAAGACCAUCUGCUGUAAGCACAAAGAAAACUCAAAGUCCUUCUGAAGGUGGUUCCAAACGUGAUAGUUUGAAAAGCAAUGUCAGUGGUUAUGGAACUCUACGUCCUGUUAAAGCACCGACCGUACCACAAGAGUAUAGUCAAACCCGCCGAUUGCCAUCAAUGUACAGAAACCGAACCCACUCAAACAGCAGUUCAGGCUCUGGCAGCAGGAGUUCCAGCACUGGAUAUUUACCGGGUAGCACACCAGUGUCAAGCAUGCCACCACCGCCACCACAAGCACCAACCCCACCUGCCAGCAACAAUAUCUCAGCCCCCCCACCACCACCCCCGCCAGCCAUGACAUCAUCCAUCCCCCCACCACCUCCCCCCAUGAAUUCUUCGAUGCCCCCUCCCCCACCAUUUGGGGCUAUGUCACCCCAGGGAGUUCCCCCACCACCCCCAGUGUUGUUACCAUCGGCAACAACAUCCCCAGAGUCCAGCGGGGGUUAUAGCACCCCAAACAUUGGAUAUAACGGGAGAGCUCCAGUAGUUGGAGGGUCGGCAGAGAAUUACGCUACUACAUCAGGUGGUGAUGAAUCCAUGAAGAGCUUAAUAUUAUUAAUAAACGCAUCUUGUUUGUCUUUCAUUUCAUGUUGCAUGGAUAUGAUGGAUUGUCUCGCAUGGUUGUUUGUCUUGCCCGAAAAAAAAAUCAAUUUUCCAAUAUUCAACAACAUUGAACGCUUUUUACCCCGACAGUUAUGGACUUACCACCCCCUCCCCCAGAUGAUUUUAUGAGUUCAAGGCCCCCGUACAUGGGGGUUGUGGGGAGAGUCCCCAGUUUACCCACCACUGGCUUCCCUGCUAAAAUAGGUGGUGUACCACCAAUGGCUGGAGGAGAUGUAUUGCCACCACCUCCACCCUCCAUGGGAACUCCAUCAAGUUAUGAUAGUUCACCAGGAGAUUACUCAACAGAGCCAAGCUGGGCACCCAAAAGUUACCUUGAAAAAGUUGUGGUUAUAUAUGACUAUUCAGCUGAAAAUUCUGAUGAAUUAAACUUAAAGGAAGAUCAAGUAGUUUACGUUGUUCGUAAGAAUGACGAUGGUUGGUAUGAAGGGGUUCUUGAUGGGGUCACCGGGCUUUUCCCAGGAAAUUAUGCUGAAGCUGUCAGUACUUAAACUUUGAAUUAAUUUAUUAAGCCACAUUCUUGUUGGUCCAGAUGUGUGUGCCUUAAACACCACAACAUGAAUUGGUUUGUUUCUAUAAAAUACCAUAACAUGGUGAUUUUGAUUUGCAAAUAUACAAAAUUUGAUACAAAUUACCCUUUAACUUAAGCUACUGCAUUAUAGAGUGUUUCAAUCAAACGCUAGUUCCGCAUACAUUUAAUACACCCACACAACGUUUUAGUUGUAACUAAAAAUCCCACCUUCAUAAAAUGCAAAUUCUUUGUAAUAUUGGCUCUAUUACUUCAAAAUAGCUUCUGCUUGCUCCUUUACAAAAUCAAAUAUUCUGUUCCCCAAUCAUAAUAUACUGAAGUAUUAUUAAUGUAUCAGUAUGUUUUUGUUUUUUUUGUGUAGCAAUGUAUCUAUGUAGGUGAUGUGUGUAUAUAUUAGCCCUUAUCUGUAUAUUGUUGUAUGUACUUUAUAAUGCUCUUCCAUGCAGUGUCAAAGUUAAGCCCACUGUUAAAUUUUUUGGGUUAAAUAUUUUAAAUUUGGGGUUGGAGUUUAAUUUGAAAUUGUAACACUGUUUGUUUAAUGCUAAUCAAAAUAGCCAUCACACCAAUCAACACAUAUUGAAGCCCCAUUUUUUUAUUUCCCUAAAAAAACAGCAUCAUUAUUAACUUUAUAAAUGUCUGUUAAAAAGACUUGAAAUAUGAUGUUUCUCAAAAUGCAAAACAUCUUUGUGUCAUACAUAAUUAAAUAUGAGCCAAAUUGACAAGUAUUUAUAUGAUAAUUUUGUAAAGCACUUUUGUAGCCAUUUUAAUUUGGAUUGUUCUGUUGUGCGCAUUACUAAACAUUGUAAAUAUAUCCAGAUGCAUAAA